UGGCGGCGUGCCUAAUACAUGCAAGUCGAACGCACAGCGAAAGGUGCUUGCACCUUUCAAGUGAGUGGCGAACGGGUGAGUAACACGUGGACAACCUGCCUCAAGGCUGGGGAUAACAUUUGGAAACAGAUGCUAAUACCGAAUAAAACUUAGUGUCGCAUGACACAAAGUUAAAAGGCGCUUCGGCGUCACCUAGAGAUGGAUCCGCGGUGCAUUAGUUAGUUGGUGGGGUAAAGGCCUACCAAGACAAUGAUGCAUAGCCGAGUUGAGAGACUGAUCGGCCACAUUGGGACUGAGACACGGCCCAAACUCCUACGGGAGGCUGCAGUAGGGAAUCUUCCACAAUGGGCGAAAGCCUGAUGGAGCAACGCCGCGUGUGUGAUGAAGGCUUUCGGGUCGUAAAGCACUGUUGUAUGGGAAGAACAGCUAGAAUAGGAAAUGAUUUUAGUUUGACGGUACCAUACCAGAAAGGGACGGCUAAAUACGUGCCAGCAGCCGCGGUAAUACGUAUGUCCCGAGCGUUAUCCGGAUUUAUUGGGCGUAAAGCGAGCGCAGACGGUUUAUUAAGUCUGAUGUGAAAGCCCGGAGCUCAACUCCGGAAUGGCAUUGGAAACUGGUUAACUUGAGUGCAGUAGAGGUAAGUGGAACUCCAUGUGUAGCGGU
rnacentral:rRNA from 1 species